UACGUAGGGUGCAAGCGUUGUCCGGAAUUAUUGGGCGUAAAGAGCUCGUAGGCGGUCUGUCGCGUCGGCUGUGAAAACCCGGGGCUCAACCCCGGGCCUGCAGUCGAUACGGGCAGACUAGAGUGCGGUAGGGGAGACUGGAAUUCCUGGUGUAGCGGUGGAAUGCGCAGAUAUCAGGAGGAACACCGGUGGCGAAGGCGGGUCUCUGGGCAGUAACUGACGCUGAGAAGCGAAAGCGUGGGGAGCGAACAGG
rnacentral:rRNA from 1 species